rnacentral:rRNA from 1 species
AUUGAACGCUGGCGGCAGGCCUAACACAUGCAAGUCGAGCGGGGUUUUCGGACCUAGCGGCGGACGGGUGAGUAAUGCGUAGGAAGCUGCCCGAUAGAGGGGGAUACCAGUUGGGAACGACUGUUAAUACCGCAUAAUGUCUACGGACCAAAGUGUGGGACCUUCGGGCCACAUGCUAUCGGAUGCGCCUACGUGGGAUUAGCUAGUUGGUGAGGUAAUGGCUCACCAAGGCGACGAUCUCUAGCUGGUUUGAGAGGAUGAUCAGCCACACUGGAACUGAGACACGGUCCAGACUCCUACGGGAGGCAGCAGUGGGGAAUAUUGGACAAUGGGCGCAAGCCUGAUCCAGCCAUGCCGCGUGUGUGAAGAAGGCCUUCGGGUUGUAAAGCACUUUCAGCGAGGAGGAAGGGUGGUGUGUUAAUAGCACAUCAUUUUGACGUUACUCGCAGAAGAAGCACCGGCUAACUCUGUGCCAGCCGCCGCGGUAACAC